rnacentral:tRNA from 1 species
AGCAACAUGGCGCAGUGGUUAGCGUGCUGGGCUCAUAACCCAGCGGUCCGAGGUUCGAAACCUUGUGUUGCUA